rnacentral:rRNA from 1 species
UGGGGAAUAUUGCACAAUGGAGAGAACUCUGAUGCAGCGACGCCGCGUGAACGAAGAAGGCUUUCGAGUCGUAAAGUUCUUUUAUAUGGGAAGAUAAUGACGGUACCAUAAGAAAAAGCCCCGGCUAACUACGUGCCAGCAGCCGCGGUAAUACGUAGGGGGCUAGCGUUGUCCGGAAUCACUGGGCGUAAAGGGUUCGCAGGCGGAAAUGCAAGUCAGGUGUAAAAGGCAGUAGCUUAACUACUGUAAGCAUUUGAAACUGCAUAUCUUGAGAAGAGUAGAGGUAAGUGGAAUUUUUAGUGUAGCGGUGAAAUGCGUAGAUAUUAAAAAGAAUACCGGUGGCGAAGGCGACUUACUGGGCUCAUUCUGACGCUGAGGAACGAAAGCGUGGGUAGCAAACAGG